ACAGCUUCUAGCAUGUUCCACUCACUGCCACACAGACAUCAACCCUCUCCCCAUAGUGCAUACAUCACAUAUCCAACACAUUAUCCACUUUCCCCAAACAAAUCCCCUAGAAUCCAUGUGCAAGACUAAAAAUAGGAAUAAACUUCCCCUGACAUGCUGGCAGAUUACUCUGUGGCCCAGAGCAUAGUUGGUUAAUUAGGAUUUUGUUUCUGAAUUCACUCCUUCCAAAAGACCAGAGACCAGGAAAGAAACUAGCUUCAUAAUCUACAGUAAGUUGCUGAAACUGUCUGGGUGAGCUGAGCCCACCAGGCUGCUAACUGAGAAAGCAAAUGUGCAAACAUGCUGGAUGAGCUAAAUAAGUGGUUACCUCUCUCUCAUGGCUGGGGCUGACAGGAGUCCAUUUUAUGAAGUAAGACAGUGAUACAUGUAACAUGAACAUACCGUGGAACAGGCAGCUUAUCUGUCUAGCUUGUGAACCAGCCUAGUGUCCAAGUAAGAGACCAGUUGAUCUGUCCAGAAAGGGGCCUCGUACCAGCUACCUGGCUAUAAGUUUAACCUGUCCACUGAACUGCCAGCGCACAGACCUUAUUCCUCCGGCAAAUCCCUUGUACUGUACAGGGCCCUCAACUCCUACAGCGGCUCCGAAGGCUGCCAACAGUAAGUGGCGAGUUAAACCGCUACUGGGAACAGCCUCUCUCUUCUCAAACGCUGCAAGCUGUUAUGUGCCUUCAAGGCGAUCAUGACUUAUGGCGACCCUAUGAAUCAGCGACCUCCAAGAGCAUCUGUCAUGAACCACCCUGUUCUGAUCUUGUAAGUUGAGGUCUGUGCCUUCCUUUAUGGAAUCAAUCCAUAU